GACUUCUUGAGUGGCCUAGUGGUUAGAGCAUUUGCCUCGGAUGCAGGAGGUAGUGGGUUUGAUCCCGGCCAAGUCA